GGGGCUGUGGCUCCGUGAUAGAGCACAUGGCUUCCAUGCAAAAGGCCCCAGGUUCCAACCCUGGCAUCUCCA